rnacentral:rRNA from 1 species
UACGAAGGGGGCUAGCGUUGCUCGGAAUCACUGGGCGUAAAGGGUGCGUAGGCGGGUCUUUAAGUCAGGGGUGAAAUCCUGGAGCUCAACUCCAGAACUGCCUUUGAUACUGAAGAUCUUGAGUUCGGGAGAGGUGAGUGGAACUCCGGAGUGUAGAGGUGAAAUUCGUAGAUAUUCGGAGGAACACCAGUGGCGAAGGCGGCUCACUGGCUCGGUACUGACGCUGAGGUGCGAAAGCGUGGGGA